rnacentral:rRNA from 1 species
GACGAACGUUGGCGGCGUGCUUAACACAUGCAAGUCGAACGGAAAGGCCCUGCUUUUGUGGGGUGCUCGAGUGGCGAACGGGUGAGUAACACGUGAGUAACCUGCCCUUGACUUUGGGAUAACUUCAGGAAACUGGGGCUAAUACCGGAUAGGAGCUCCUGCUGCAUGGUGGGGGUUGGAAAGUUUCGGCGGUUGGGGAUGGACUCGCGGCUUAUCAGCUUGUUGGUGGGGUAGUGGCUUACCAAGGCUUUGACGGGUAGCCGGCCUGAGAGGGUGACCGGCCACAUUGGGACUGAGAUACGGCCCAGACUCCUACGGGAGGCAGCAGUGGGGAAUAUUGCACAAUGGGCGGAAGCCUGAUGCAGCAACGCCGCGUGCGGGAUGACGGCCUUCGGGUUGUAAACCGCUUUCGCCUGUGACGAAGCGUGAGUGACGGUAAUGGGUAAAGAAGCACCGGCUAACUACGUGCCAGCAGCCGCGGUGAUACGUAGGGUGCGAGCGUUGUCCGGAUUUAUUGGGCGUAAAGGGCUCGUAGGUGGUUGAUCGCGUCGGAAGUGUAAUCUUGGGGCUUAACCCUGAGCGUGCUUUCGAUACGGGUUGACUUGAGGAAGGUAGGGGAGAAUGGAAUUCCUGGUGGAGCGGUGGAAUGCGCAGAUAUCAGGAGGAACACCAGUGGCGAAGGCGGUUCUCUGGGCCUUUCCUGACGCUGAGGAGCGAAAGCGUGGGGAGCGAACAGGCUUAGAUACCCUGGUAGUCCACGCUGUAAACGGUGGGUACUAGGUGUGGGGUCCAUUCCACGGGUUCCGUGCCGUAGCUAACGCUUUAAGUACCCCGCCUGGGGAGUACGGCCGCAAGGCUAAAACUCAAAGGAAUUGACGGGGCCCCGCACAAGCGGCGGAGCAUGCGGAUUAAUUCGAUGCAACGCGUAGAACCUUACCUGGGUUUGACAUGGAUCGGGAGUGCUCAGAGAUGGGUGUGCCUCUUUUGGGGUCGGUUCACAGGUGGUGCAUGCCUGUCGUCAGCUCGUGUCGUGAGAUGUUGGGUUAAGUCCCGCAACGAGCGCAACCCUUGUUCACUGUUGCCAGCACGUUAUGGUGGGGACUCAAUGGAGACCGCCGGGGUCAACUCGGAGGAAGGUGGGGAUGACGUCAAGUCAUCAUGCCCCUUAUGUCCAGGGCUUCACGCAUGCUACAAUGGCUGGUACAGAGAGUGGCGAGCCUGUGAGGGUGAGCGAAUCUCGGAAAGCCGGUCUCAGUUCGGAUUGGGGUCUGCAACUCGACCUCAUGAAGUCGGAGUCGCUAGUAAUCGCAGAUCAGCAACGCUGCGGUGAAUACGUUCCCGGGGCU